UAGGGCUUGUGAUCGUGUGACAAGGGGAUAGCAUUGCCGUCCUUGUCACACAGGACUCCCCGCGAAUCACCCACGUUGGCCACGCUAGUGCAAGCUGUGUUCAUAAAAACUCCAGCUAUUACAAAGAUUCUCUGCGCAGGCUUUGGACCAGAUGUCACAAUUUCAUUCAUAUUUUAGAAGAGAAAGACGGCAUGGAAGUUUUAAGAGGUGGACCAGAGAAGCACAUGGUUGCGUUUUCACCUCUGUUGUUAAUUUACAUCUGACUAUUCAUUAAAAAAAAAAAAAAAAGAAAAAAAGGUAGGUACAUCCACAGGUGGGGUGCUGUGAAGAAGCACUGGGGGCCAGCAUGCCUGAGGAGGGGCCCCAGCGCUGAAGCUCAGCCACCAGCAGCGUCACAAAGCCCCUCUGCUCCUGGGUUGUAAUUAAAGACACAGUUUUAAUGAAACUGCUGGCAACGGGGCAUGCCCGCACUGCCUGCCCUCAGCGGCAUCCUGAGCCCCGGUUUUACUCCUCUAUUUGGGUUUAAGUCUGUGCUCUGUGGUCUUCAAGCUAAAUUCUCAUAGCUGCUGCUUGUUGUGUUGGUGGCCAAACCCAGGAUUAAAAACUGUGUUUUGCUGUUCCCAUGUCAGUAGUUGAAUAUCCCAUGACUGGUAUAAAUAAAAUAGCCAGUAAUAAACAAUUUGUGUUCAGA